rnacentral:lncRNA from 1 species
CUGGCCUGCUGGGACCUGUGGAUUCUUUGUAGACUUCACACUCUUUGAAGGAUGACUGAAGGCAGUGUUUGAAGUUGCUGUCUGAGUCAUGACAAAUGUUUUAGUCUCCCAAGGAGACCCUGAUAUGGGCAAAGUCCUGUUGGGAAAGCCUGGAUGGUGCUGCCAUGGCCAGGCAUGGAUCUGGGCGUUUUUAAGAUAAAUGGUAAAACUGAACUGGAAAUCCAUCUGGCCAGCUGCCUGAUCUAAUGAAUAACCCCACUUUGGCUCCUGCAAUGUAAGCAGAAAGAGUUCUCUCCCGGCCGCUUUCGUCUGUCAUGAAUCUACAAGACAGCCGACAUAAUAUCUGGGCGACAACAGCGUGCUAACAGUGCAGUGACUUCCAUUUUCUUUGCUUUCUAUUGAUUUUCACUUAAUAACUGGCGAAAUACUAAACGUCCGCCCUGAGUACCUAAUAAAUCCUGCCUGAGCUUUUUAUUGAGGAGAAUU